rnacentral:rRNA from 1 species
GUGCACGCUGGCGGUAGGCCUAACCCCUGCCAGUCGCACGGCAGCACAGUAAGAGCUUGCUCUUACGGGUGGCGAGUGGCGGACGGGUGAGGAAUACAUCGGAAUCUACUUUUUCGUGGGGGAUAACGUAGGGAAACUUACGCUAAUACCGCAUACGACCUACGGGUGAAAGCCGGGGAUCUUCGGACCUUGCGCGAUUGAAUGAGCCGAUGUCGGAUUAGCUAGUUGGCGGGGUAAAGGCCCACCAAGGCGACGAUCCGUAGCUGGUCUGAGAGGAUGAUCAGCCACACUGGAACUGAGACACGGUCCAGACUCCUACGGGAGGCAGCAGUGGGGAAUAUUGGACAAUGGGCGCAAGCCUGAUCCAGCCAUACCGCGUGGGUGAAGAAGGCCUUCGGGUUGUAAAGCCCUUUUGUUGGGAAAGAAAAGCAGCAGGUUAAUACCCCGCUGUUCUGACGGUACCCAAAGAAUAAGCACCGGCUAACUUCGUG